rnacentral:rRNA from 1 species
AGGGUUCGAUUCUGGCUCAGAACGAACGCUGGCGGCAGGCCUAACACAUGCAAGUCGAGCGCGCCCUUCGGGGUGAGCGGCGGACGGGUUAGUAACGCGUGGGAACGUACCCUUUGGUAGGGAAUAGCCACUGGAAACGGUGAGUAAUACCCUAUGAGCCCUUCGGGGGAAAGAUUUUAUCGCCAAAGGAUCGGCCCGCGUUAGAUUAGGUAGUUGGUGGGGUAAUGGCCUACCAAGCCUACGAUCUAUAGCUGGUUUUAGAGGAUGAUCAGCAACACUGGGACUGAGACACGGCCCAGACUCCUACGGGAGGCAGCAGUGGGGAAUCUUGGACAAUGGGGGCAACCCUGAUCCCAGCCAUGCCGCGUGAGUGAAGAAGGCCUUAGGGUCGUAAAGCUCUUUCGCCUGUGAAGAUAAUGACGGUAGCAGGUAAAGAAACCCCGGCUAACUCCGUGCCAGCCGCUGC